rnacentral:rRNA from 1 species
CUACGGGAUGCUGCAGUGGAGAAUAUUGCACAAUGGACGAAAGUCUGAUGCAGCAACGCCGCGUGGAGGAUGACACAUUUCGGUGCGUAAACUCCUUUUAUAUAAGAAGAUAAUGACGGUAUUAUAUGAAUAAGCACCGGCUAACUCCGUGCCAGCAGCCGCGGUAAUACGGAGGGUGCAAGCGUUACUCGGAAUCACUGGGCGUAAAGAGCGUGUAGGCGGAUAGAUAAGUUGGAAGUGAAAUCCUAUGGCUCAACCAUAGAACUGCUUCCAAAACUGUCUAUCUAGAAUAUGGGAGAGGUAGAUGGAAUUUCUGGUGUAGGGGUAAAAUCCGUAGAGAUCAGAAGGAAUACCGAUUGCGAAGGCGAUCUACUGGAACAUUAUUGACGCUGAGACGCGAAAGCGUGGGGAGCAAACAGGAUUAGAUACCCCUGUAGUC